rnacentral:tRNA from 7 species
GCCGCCAUAGCUCAUCUGGUAGAGCACCUGUUUAGUAAUCAGGGGGUGAGGGGUUCGAGUCCUCUUGGUGGCAC